rnacentral:rRNA from 1 species
UACGUAGGGGGCAAGCGUUGUCCGGAUUUAUUGGGCGUAAAGAGCGUGUAGGCGGCCUGACAGGUCAGCUGUGAAAACUCGAGGCUCAACCUCGAGACGUCGGUUGAAACCAUCUGGCUAGAGUCCGGAAGAGGAGUGUGGAAUUCCCGGUGUAGCGGUGAAAUGCGCAGAUAUCGGGAAGAACACCCGUGGCGAAGGCGGCACUCUGGGACGGUACUGACACUGAGGAGCGAAAGCGUGGGGAGCGAACAGG